rnacentral:rRNA from 1 species
GACGAACGCUGGCGGCGUGCUUAACACAUGCAAGUCGAACGGAAAGGCCCUGCUUUUGUGGGGUGCUCGAGUGGCGAACGGGUGAGUAACACGUGAGUAACCUGCCCUUGACUUUGGGAUAACUUCAGGAAACUGGGGCUAAUACCGGAUAGGAGCUCCUGCUGCAUGGUGGGGGUUGGAAAGUUUCGGCGGUUGGGGAUGGACUCGCGGCUUAUCAGCUUGUUGGUGGGGUAGUGGCUUACCAAGGCUUUGACGGGUAGCCGGCCUGGGAGGGUGACCGGGCACAUUGGCCUUGGGGAGGGGCCCAGGCCCCAAGGGGGGGAAGGGGUGGGGAAUUUUGCCAAAAGGGCGGAGGCCUGAUGGAGCACCGCCGGGUGGGGGAGGACGGUCUGCGGGUUGGAAACCGCUUUUGCCGGUAACGAGGUGUGAGGGCGGGAAAGGGGUAAAAAACACCGGGUAAAUUCGUU